CCCCCUAAACGGCAGCCUACCAUGCAAGUCGAGCGGCAGCGGAAGUAGCUUGCUACUUUGCCGGCGAGCGGCGGACGGGUGAGUAAUGUCUGGGAAACUGCCUGAUGGAGGGGGAUAACUACUGGAAACGGUAGCUAAUACCGCAUAACGUCGCAAGACCAAAGAGGGGGACCUUCGGGCCUCUUGCCAUCAGAUGUGCCCAGAUGGGAUUAGCUAGUAGGUGGGGUAACGGCUCACCUAGGCGACGAUCCCUAGCUGGUCUGAGAGGAUGACCAGCCACACUGGAACUGAGACACGGUCCAGACUCCUACGGGAGGCAGCAGUGGGGAAUAUUGCACAAUGGGCGCAAGCCUGAUGCAGCCAUGCCGCGUGUAUGAAGAAGGCCUUCGGGUUGUAAAGUACUUUCAGCGGGGAGGAAGGCGUUGAGGUUAAUAACCUCAGCGAUUGACGUUACCCGCAGAAGAAGCACCGGCUAACUCCGUGCCAGCAGCCGCGGUAAUACGGAGGGUGCAAGCGUUAAUCGGAAUUACUGGGCGUAAAGCGCACGCAGGCGGUCUGUCAAGUCGGAUGUGAAAUCCCCGGGCUCAACCUGGGAACUGCAUUCGAAACUGGCAGGCUAGAGUCUUGUAGAGGGGGGUAGAAUUCCAGGUGUAGCGGUGAAAUGCGUAGAGAUCUGGAGGAAUACCGGUGGCGAAGGCGGCCCCCUGGACAAAGACUGACGCUCAGGUGCGAAAGCGUGGGGAGCAAACAGGAUUAGAUACCCUGGUAGUCCACGCCGUAAACGAUGUCGACUUGGAGGUUGUGCCCUUGAGGCGUGGCUUCCGGAGCUAACGCGUUAAGUCGACCGCCUGGGGAGUACGGCCGCAAGGUUAAAACUCAAAUGAAUUGACGGGGGCCCGCACAAGCGGUGGAGCAUGUGGUUUAAUUCGAUGCAACGCGAAGAACCUUACCUACUCUUGACAUCCAGAGAACUUAGCAGAGAUGCUUUGGUGCCUUCGGGACUCUGAGACAGUGCCUGCAUGGCUGUCGUCAGCUCGUGUUGGUGAAAUGUGUUGGGUUAAGUCCCGCAACGAGCGCACCCUUAUCCUUUGUGCCAGCGGUCCGGCCGGCACUCAAAGAGACUGCAUGAUAAACCUGAAGAAGAGAGGGUGGGGAUGACGUCCAGUCAUCAUGUCCCUACGGUAGGCUACCCACUGCUACAUGCCAACAAGAGAAUCGACCUCGGAGACAGCGAACCUCAAUAAUGCGCGCCUCAUAAGUCCGGGGAAUUGGAAG
rnacentral:rRNA from 1 species